rnacentral:rRNA from 1 species
GACAGAGGGGGCAAGCGUUGUUCGGAAUUACUGGGCGUAAAGGGCGCGUAGGCGGCCUGCUAAGUCGAACGUGAAAUCCCCGGGCUCAACCCGGGAACUGCGUCCGAUACUGGCAGGCUUGAAUCCGGGAGAGGGAUGUGGAAUUCCAGGUGUAGCGGUGAAAUGCGUAGAUAUCUGGAGGAACACCGGUGGCGAAGGCGGCAUCCUGGACCGGCAUUGACGCUGAGGCGCGAAAGCCAGGGGAGCAAACGGG